CCCUUGGACCCCGAGGACGUUUCUCCAGGGCCGCCCUGCGACUGGCUGGGCAGGGGGUUCCCCGCAGUGCGCAGCAGGGGCGCCCCACCCACAAUGCACCGGAGCAGCCUGGCUGGCGGGCGUGGCGGCCGGAGGCGCCUUCGAGAGAGGAGUACGGCAAGGGCAGCCAGGCCUGGCUCCUGAGGGCGGCCGCGACCUUCUUCGAGGGGACCUUACGCUUGCACCUGGCCCGGACUGCGAAAACGUCGGGGGUCCUGGGUCUCUAUGUACUCCAGGCUGGCCUCGAACUCACAGCGAUCCUCCUGCCUCAGCCUCCCAAAUGCUGGGAUUGCAGGCCACAACACCCAGCUCAGGACCCCAUCGUUUGUGAAGAUCGUGUUUUCUACCCCACCUCAAGAGGAGAAAUUAGGGGCUUCAAACCCCCUGGCUUCUUCAGAGAAUUGUAGGAAUCAGUGCCCUCUCA